GAGAGUUAAACAGUACGUGAAAUUGUUGAAAGGGAAACGAUUGAAGUCAGUCAUACCAACGGGAAAUCAACCUUUUGAGUUUGGUCUCGUGGGUUUUGAAGAGUUUUUAAAAGCCUUCGGAUUUUCGAGAUUGGGUUCUUCUGGUGUACUUUCUCGUACGGUUAGUCAACAUCGGUUUUGAAUGUCAUAAAAUGACUGGAGGAAUGUGGCUUCGAUCUCGUAUUGAAGUGUUAUAGCCUUUGGUAGAUGUGAUGUUCAAGACCGAGGAUUGCAACGGAUACCCUUCUGGGCUAUUCGUCUGAUCUCUGAAACGUUGCCUUGAUGUCGAAAGCUUGCUUAUGAUGUUAGGGUAUUACGAUCAAAAGGUUAGAACGGAUUAAAUUCGUUAAGGAUGUUGACGUAAUGACUUUAAACGA
rnacentral:rRNA from 1 species